rnacentral:rRNA from 1 species
AGCUCCAAUAGCGUAUAUUAAAGUUGUUGUGGUUAAAAAGCUCGUAGUUGGAUCUCAACAGACUUGGAUCGGUUUACUUUGUGUAAUACUGAUCCAAAGCUGUGCUUUUGUCGGAGGUUUAGGGGUGCUCUUAACCGAGUGUCUCUGAGUGCCGACAGGUUUACUUUGAAAAAAUUAGGGUGCUUAAAGCGGGCUGUUAUGCUCGAAUAUUUGUGCAUGGAAUAAUAGAAUAGGAUGUUGAUCUUAUUUUGUUGGUUUUCGAGACUUGACAUAAUGAUUAAUAGGGACAGUCGGGGGCAUUUGUAUUCAAACGACAGAGGUGAAAGUCUUGGACCGUUUGAAGACAAACUACUGCGAAAGCAUUUGCCAAGAAUGUUUUCA